UCGCAUCCGCCAAUCGGUUCAGCCGUGUCGCGGAAGGUUAAUUAACCAGCUUUAACCAGCUAAUGUUCCCUGAAGGGGAACGGAGGUCAGCG
rfam:Curvibacter sp. GWA2_63_95 gwa2_scaffold_359, whole genome shotgun sequence.